UUUCUGGGUGAAAACAGCUUUUGUUAAGAUCUGAAGUAUUUUUAAAUUCUACACAUACUCAGAAAUAAUAUGAGGUAAUAAGAAUGUUAAAAAUAUAGAGUGCAUAAACUGUAAAGUGAAAAUUCCCAGUGGUGAUGGCUAACAAUUUUUUGUUCAGAUGUCCUGAAUUGUUUUUCUGUUCAUGUACACACAUACACACACACACACACACACACACACCCCUCAAUGUUUUCAACUUGCCUUUGAUAGUUACUAGAUAUUGCCAUACUUCUUUAUUAUUACUUAUAAAUCUGCCUCAUCUUUAACUACUAUUGAAAGACAUUUAAGCUGUUGUUAUUUUAAUUUUUUCUUAUUACAAGCACCGUAACAGUGAACAGGCUUUGAGCACUGGGAGAGCACUUCAGGGAAUCUAUCCACUGAAGAAUAAAUCUCUUUGAGUGAAAUUGCUGCAUUUAACAGGUAGCUCCUGGGAGCAGAAAAAUUCAAGCAGGCUGUCGUGUAGGCUGGAUUCCCACCUACUGCCUGAAGAGACUGGAACAUGGACAUGGAACAGCAUUUCUGCAUGGAAUCUUUUAUUUUUCUUCUCUGGCUUUGAAAUUUGCAUUUGUUUUAUAAAAAUAAGCUGGUUCAAAAACA